UUGUUGGAGAGUUUGAUCCUGGCUCAGGACGAACGCUGGCGGCGUGCUUAACACAUGCAAGUCGAACGCUGAAGCCCAGCUUGCUGGGUGGAUGAGUGGCGAACGGGUGAGUAACACGUGGGUAAUCUGCCCUGUACUCUGGGAUAAGCCUGGGAAACUGGGUCUAAUACCGGAUAGGACCAUUGCAGGCAUCUGUGGUGGUGGAAAGCUUCGGCGGUACAGGUUGAGCCCGCGGCCUAUCAGCUUGUUGGUGGGGUGAUGGCCUACCAAGGCGGUGACGGGUAGCCGGCCUGAGAG
rnacentral:rRNA from 1 species